rnacentral:pre_miRNA from 1 species
AUAUGUAUCUCCUAGGGAUUGUGUUAAAAUGCAGGUUCUGAUUCAGCCAUUCUGGGAGGAACCUGAGAUUCUGAAUUUUUUACAAGUUCCCAGGUGAUAAAAAC